AACUAAAGAAUAUGAUGAGAUGGUGAAGGAUCCCCAAAAGGCUUAUUUGCAAACAAUCACACCUAAGUAUGAGACCAUUAUUGACAUUGCAGUGAUAGAGAUAUUGUCAAGGCAUGCUUCUGAUGAGAUCUACCUUUGGGAGAGGGAUAAUCCAAAUUGGACAACCGAUUCAAAGGCAAUACAAGCUUUAAAAAAGUUUGGAAGCAAACUGACAGAAAUUGAAGGAAGGAUCACUGCAAGGAACAGUGAUCCAAGUUUGAAAAGCCGACAUUCGCCAGUUGACUUGCCAUACACCUUACUCCUUCGUUCCAGUGAGGAAGGGUUGACUUUCAGAGGAAUUCCCAACAGUAUCUCUAUCUAAAACGAAUGUGUGAUUUCCUUGUCCAUUAUCCUUUUGAAUAAGAGACAAUACAAGUCUCUGUGAAAUUAUCGUCUUUAUGUAUGUAGUGUGCUGCUCUUGUUCACUUUGAGUAUGUUGUAACUUAUCAAUUUUACUUAUGUGUUCUGCCAUUCCUUUUAUAUAUAGGAAGUGGCAUGUGUGUAAAAGAGUGUGACUUUCAUACUCUUCUCAGUUAAUGAAGGUUUCUUAUUCUGGUUCUUGUAGGUGUUUUCCUUCUGGUUCUUUCCUAUUCUUUUUUGGUUCUUUCCAUUUGUUACUUCUUCCCGCAUGGAAUCCUCUGCAACCAAAUCUUACAACAUGGAUCUUGUUAUUACUCCAUCAAGCCCUUACUAUAUGCAUUCUGUAGAAAAUUCAGAAAUGAUUCUUGUUUCACCUUAACUCAGUGAAAUCAACUACCACUCACGGAGUAGAAACAUGUAUCGCACGAGAUUGAUCAAAUAACUAAUCACAUGAAUAAGAUUGAUAGCGAUAGUAUUAUAUCAUCUGAGGCAAAUGAAAAGAUUGAAAAGUGUGUAUUAUUUAAAGAGGAAGAAAGAGAGCAUGAGUUUGAAGAAGAGGAGGAAGAAGAAAAAGUGAAAAAGCGAAAAAGAUUGAAAAUAAUAUAGACUUAGAUUUUAACACAAUUUUUAGAAACCAAUUCAAGAUGUACUUGUUAUUCUACUAUGUGUGAUAUGAGAGACUCUCUUCCACAAAAGGUAAUUACAGUGAUAAUGGAUGAAUUGUGUUAAGAUGCUAGACUGUCCUGUAUCCACUUGACGGUCUAUCACCCAUUAGAUAGUCUUGUGAUAUGAGAGUCUAUGAAUUUUGAUGAUAACAAACAUUAUAAGAUGUAUAAGUAUUCUAACAAAGCUCAUUAGUGUGCAGAACAGGGCAAACACAUGUCAAAUGGUCUAUAAAGGCAUAAUUGAUUAGACAAUCCUAUAGUAUUAAAAUUUUUAGACAGUCUCUCAGUGUUAAACCCAUUAGACAAAUCUAUGAGUGUUUCUAUGUUAAUAGAAGAAAAAUGAAGUGCAAAACACUGACCAACUAGACAAUCCAACUUUGAAUAGAUGAGUUAGACGGUCUCAUAGUGCAUAAACAUACCAUCAAUUUGAUGUUAUGAAAAAGGUAUUAUAAACUCUUCAAGAUAUAAUAAAACUUAGUAUUUGACAAAGUUACCUAAGAACAAGAUUUCCAUCGAUUGCAAAUGGGUUUAUAAAAUUAAAUAAAAAUUGAAUGGAUCCAUUAAAAGUUACAAGGUCUGCCUUGUUGCUAAAGGUUACACGCAAAUAGAAGGCAUAGAUUACUUGGACGCCUUUUCACCAGUGGCUAAAUUAACAUUAGUGAGAUUACUCUUGACUUUGGCUACCACACAACAUCCGCAUUUACAUGAGUGUGAUGUUGAUAAUGCUUUCUUAUAUGGUCUCAUAGAAGAAGCUUAUAUGGUUCCUCCUUCAGGUCUUAUUUUGCCUCAAUCAAAUCAAAAUUGUAAACUAACUAAGUCCUUAUAUGGCUUAAAGCAAGUCAAUCAACAAUGGUUUGUAAAACUUUCAUUCUUUCUUAUUUCAAUUGGCUUCAUUUAAUCUAAAUCUAAUCACUCCCUCUUUAUUAAGAAAAUAUAUAUUGUUGUCAACAUUUUGCCUAUCGUGCCUUGACUAUUACACUUGUGAAUUGCAAUUGGUAACCUACCUCAAGGACCUUUGGAAUCACUCCCUUCUCCAUGGAAUCUACUAUAACCACGACUUCUCAUUUAUAUUUUCAUCUUCAAAGUUUCAAAUAGUUCUUUGUACUAAAAUAAAAAAUAAAAUAAAAAAACUUUCUUCACCACUUUGUAGAAGGCCAAUUCUUUCAAUUAUGUAAUUGUUGGUUGGGAUUUCUCAAGUACUAUCACAACAUAUAAUUACCAAGUGUAAAGUAGAUUGUUCUUAAAUAACUAUCUUCUUGCUAUUACACACUUAAAAUAAUAAAUAUGCUAAGAUGUGCAAUAAUUAACAACAAACACCAUACAAUUUUCUCGAGAUUAAUUUUUUUCUAAUAUGAAAUUCUCAUCCAAAGGGUAUAAAAAACUUCAGCAUUUCACAUACACAACAUGGAUUUCCAAUCCCAAAAGAAUCAAUAUAAUUGUAAUAAAAAUAUUUUUUUAUACUAGUGGGCAAGUUAAGAAAGUAUAAUUAAUGAUUACACGAUUUUCUUUCUUGUAAUAUACAAUUAUUUUUCUACUUUCUUGAUUGUUGUAGAUCAUUUGCAUGUGCAAUUAAAAAGAAAAAGACAACUAGGAACGUCCAAACUCAAAUAAUAAAGUGAAUAUAAUAGAGAAAUUAAUUGAAUGACAUGAAAGAAUAUUAAAUUAAAGAGAAGGAAGAUAAAAAUAAUAGAACCAAAUGUGGAUAACGUGUUUCACAUAUGCUUCUCCCUUCUCACUUCCUCUCUAUAAAUAGCUUUUCUUGGCCUCCUCACAACACACACAACUAAGCUUCAAUCUUCUCUUCUUCUUCUUCUUCCUUUGCAGAAACAGUAACAAUAUACAGUGUUUGAUAUAGCAGGAAAUUAAGAUGUUAGGUGGGAUCUUUGACAAGGGCCAGAAGAUAAAGGGCACUGUGGUGUUGAUGCCCAAGAAUGUGUUGGACUUCAACGCCAUAACUUCCAUUGGUAAGAGCGGUGUUACCGGCACUGUCAAAGAUGCCUUUGGCGUUGUCACCAACAUAGCUGGUGGAGCACUUGAUGCUGCAACUUCCUUCUUAGGCAGAAAUGUUUCACUGCACUUGAUCAGUGCUACUCAGGCUGAUGGUUUGUUCUCAUCUUACCAACCACUCUAUUUUCUAUCAUAUCUUAUUUCACAAAUUAUACUUCAUUUAACAUAUGAACACAUCUCAUCCACCUCUAGCUACUCUUAAAAUAUUAUAUUAUCCUUAGUCGUUUGACUCAACCUCAAUAAUGCAAGGACUUACUUGUCUAACUUUUGUUUACAUUGAAAAUGAAAUUCAAUUAAUAUUUACUCUAAACGUGUACCAUUAUUAUACUUUUUAUCAUGUUUCUUGGAUAAGUUAAAAACUCUUUUAGUAAACUUGAACGGAGAAGUUAACUUUACGAGGAUAGAAAAAAAUAGAGGGACAAAAUUCAUCGUAAGAAUCAAUUCACUAUUUUAUGUUCUGACAUACGUAAGUGGAACAUAUCAUAGGGUUAUUUUAAACGAUUGCACCAUUUGCAGCUAAGUGGCUAACUUAGUUUUUUUAUUGCAGCGACAGCUAUAUAUCAGUAAACUAUUUGUGUGAAAAGAUUCAUGCUAAGAUCACCCUUUUUUUUUAAUAUUAUUGUUCAAUUGCAAUAUAAAAUACUCAUUUUUUUCAUUAUUGUAAUUUUAUUUGUAUUUGUUUGCAGCUAGUGGAAAAGGAAAAGUUGGAAAGAUAACAUAUUUGGAGAAACGUCUUCCUACGUUACCAACACUGGGAGCAAGACAAGAUGCAUUCAGUAUUUUCUUUGAAUGGGAUGCUAAUUUUGGAAUUCCUGGAGCAUUUUACAUCAGAAACUAUACAACUGAUGAAUUUUUCCUCGUUAGUGUUGUUCUUGAGGACAUUCCAAACCAUGGAACCAUUCACUUCGUCUGUAACUCAUGGGUUUAUAACUUCAAACAAUACGAAAAGGAUCGCAUUUUCUUUGUGAAUGAUGUAAGCUUGUGUUUUUCUGAUGUUGGAGUUUUGUUUUUAACUAUAAAUGGUCUUGAUCAUUUAUUGUUUUCAUGAACAUAUUGCAGACAUAUCUUCCAAGUGCAACACCAGCUCCAUUACUCAAGUACAGACAAGAAGAAUUGGAGACUCUUAGAGGAGAUGGAACUGGUAAACGCAAGGACAAUGAUAGAAUCUAUGACUAUGAUGUUUAUAACGAUUUGGGCAAUCCAGAUGGUGGAGAUCCUCGUCCAAUCCUUGGAGGAUCUAUCAUCCACCCUUACCCUCGUAGGGUUAGAACUGGUAGAGAACGAACCAGGACAGGUUAGACUUUUUUUGUUUGAUUUGUGAUAUUUAUCAUUGUUCAGUUAACUUUAUAUAUGAGCAUAGUUCUAAUGGUAUAACUAUGAUGAAGUUGUUUAACUCAUCUAAUCUAAGAAUUUUAACAAGUUUUCUAUCUAACUACACUAUACUAAAAGAACUUAAAAUGAUCCUACACUUUGCUUAAAUAUGCUUAUAGAUUUGGUAAUGUUUUGCAAAGUAACAAAUUAUAUAGAGGUCAACGUGAAAAAAAAAAGGCCAUAUAGAUUUUGUAAGUGCGAAAAGUUGUACAAUUUGAAAAUAUAUGAUUGGAAAAUAAGGAUUUUAAUGUUCUGUUGGUUGCUUCAUUACAGAUCCCAACAGUGAGAAACCAGGCGAGAUUUAUGUUCCAAGAGAUGAAAAUUUUGGUCACUUGAAGUCAUCAGAUUUCCUUAUGUAUGGAAUAAAAUCUUUAUCUCAGACUGUGCUACCUCUGUUAAAAUCUGCAAUUUUUGACUUAAAGGUCACAUCAAGUGAGUUUAAGAGCUUCGACGAUGUGCGUAGUUUGUAUGAGGGUGGAAUUAAGCUGCCAACAGAUAUAUUGAGACAAAUUAGCCCCUUACCAGCCCUCAAGGAAAUCUUCCGUACUGAUGGUGAAAAUACUCUUCAAUUUCCACCACCUCAUGUAAUUCAAGGUACUUAAUAAAAAAAAGCUUCAAUAUAUUAACACUUGUGGAAUUAAAUAAUAUUUGGCUUGAUUUCAUAAUGAUUUUCUUUUUUAUUUGUGCAGUUAAAAAAUCUGAAUGGAUGACUGAUGAAGAAUUUGCAAGAGAAGUGAUUGCUGGUGUCAAUCCAAAUGUAGUUCGUCGUCUUCAGGUUAAUACUAAGUCUCUAAAAUGGUCAACUUUGAUGUAAAUGUUAAUGCAUCUUGUCACAUUUUGCUGCAUAAUGUGAAUGCAGUCUGCUAAAUAUUUAUGGAUGCAUUUUGCUGCAUAAUUGUGAAUGCACCUGCUGCAUAAUUUGCUAUAAAAAAUCAGUGCUAGUAUGGGUGUGUCAUAGAAUCAUAGGCUCUUAGUUGCUUUAUUUUGCUGCUUUUCGACUAUUCGACUAUUGUAUAAGGGUUGAGAUGAAGUAUCCUUUUUAUUCAUUUAUUAUUCCUGAUAAAAAAAAUCUUGUCUUUGUUAUUUUUGUCAUCUUUCCUCAUAUAGCAUCUUUUAAUAAUGGCAGGAAUUCCCACCAAAAAGUUCGCUUGAUCCCUCUCUCUAUGGUGAUCAAACUAGUACCAUAACAAAAGAACAGUUGGAGAUUAACAUGGAUGGGGUCACAGUAGAUGAGGUAAUGAUAUACAGUUUUCACUAAAAAAUCAUCAGCUUUUGUUAUAUUCUUCUUUUUAAUAAUUCUGUGUAGUAUAGAGGCACUUGAAGUCAUAUUAGGUUUGUAAUUUGAAGUUACGAAACAAACUGACCACUGAAAUUAAACUUUGGAACACAGGCACUUGCUGCAAAGAGAUUAUUCAUAUUAGAUUACCAAGAUGCAUUCUUUCCAUAUUUGACGAGGAUAAACAGUCUACCUGUUGCAAGAGCUUAUGCCACCAGAACAAUCUUAUUCCUGAAAGAUGAUGGCACUUUGAAGCCACUUGCUAUCGAAUUAAGCAAGCCACAUCCAGGUGGAGAUAAUUUGGGUCCUGUGAGCAAAGUUGUGUUGCCUGCACUUGAUGGUGUUGAUAGCACAAUUUGGCUAUUGGCCAAGGCUCAUGUAAUUGUAAAUGACUCUGGUUAUCAUCAGCUCAUGAGUCAUUGGUAAGAAAUUCUUCUGCAAUAUUUAGCCCAUAUAUAUAUAUAUAUAAUGUUUGCAUAUAUGAAUUUAUUAUUGAUGUUUUUUCUUUUGAUGUUGCAGGUUAAAUACUCAUGCAGUGAUGGAGCCAUUUGCCAUAGCAACAAACAGACAUCUCAGUGUGCUUCACCCCAUUUACAAACUUCUCUAUCCUCACUACCGUGAUACCAUAAAUAUCAAUGGACUUGCUAGGCAAUCUUUGAUUAAUGCAGGUGGCAUUAUAGAGCAAUCAUUUUUGCCCGGAAAGUACUCUAUUGAGAUGUCUUCAGCCGUUUACAAGAACUGGGUUUUUACUGAUCAAGCACUGCCAGCAGAUCUAGUCAAGAGGUAUUUAUAGUAAAAGCUAACCAUUCUUUUAAAUUAUUACUUUUAUUUAUACAUAAAAAGUUUAAAAUAGGUACCAUAAAAAUCAACCAAUUGAUCAUAUAUUAUUAUGUUGUCAUUUAAUCUUAUAGAAGAUAUGGAGGUUGAAAUGUGUUCUUUUAAUAGAAACAUUAAAUUUUCUAGUUUGCAAACUAAACAACAAAUUUUUCUAUUCUCUGACACACCCUUAUACAAGUGUCAAAAAAUCCACACCACCUAACUACAAUCCAAUACAUAUACAUAGCAACAACCACCUAACUACAAUCCAAAUCAUAGCAACAUUUAUAUGGCUAAGCUUUUUGGCACAUCCUCUAGUGCUUUAUAUAGUUAUGCAGCAAAAUUCUGCAUAAUUUACAGCAGUAACAAAUUUUCUCUUUGAUGAUGGAAGAAAAGGAGAGAUGCUUAUUGAAUUUGUAUUAACAUUUUAUUAUCACUUGAUUCAGAGGAGUGGCAGUUGAGGAUCCAUCUUCCCCCCAUGGACUUCGUCUCUUGAUAGAGGACUACCCUUAUGCUGUUGAUGGACUAGAAAUUUGGGAUGCUAUUAAGUCAUGGGUCCAAGAGUAUGUCUCAUUGUAUUACCCAACCGAUGUGGCAGUUCAACGAGAUACUGAACUCCAAGCAUGGUGGAAGGAAGUUGUAGAGAAGGGUCAUGCUGACUUAAAAGAUAAGCCUUGGUGGCCUAAAAUGCAGAGUAUUGAAGCUCUCGUUAAAUCUUGCUCUAUUAUUGUAUGGACAGCUUCUGCUCUUCAUGCAGCUGUUAAUUUUGGACAAUAUCCUUAUGGAGGUUACAUAGUGAACCGUCCAACUCUCAGCAGAAGGUUUAUCCCUGAACCAGGAACUCCAGAAUAUGAUGAGAUGGUGAGCAGUUAUCAAAAGGCUUAUUUGAAAACAAUCACACCCAAGUUUGAGACCCUUAUUGACCUUUCAGUGAUAGAGAUAUUGUCAAGGCAUGCUUCUGAUGAAGUGUACCUUGGACAGAGGGAUACUCCAAACUGGACCACUGAUAAUAAGGCCUUGGAAGCUUUCAAAAGGUUUGGAAGCAAACUUGGUGAGAUUGAAGGGAAAAUCAAUGCAAGGAACAGUGAUCUGAGUCUGAGAAACAGA
rnacentral:lncRNA from 1 species